rnacentral:misc_RNA from 1 species
GGGAGUGGUGUCUGUACAGUCAGUUUCUCCCUCCAUGGGUCUAUCCCCCCCCUCCCCUCAUAUCACCACACUUUUCUUCUAAGCACAUGCCAGAUGAACAUUAAUUAAUUUACAAGCUCACAUAUACUACAAUGCAGGGUUUUAAAUGGGAUGUCAUAUAUUAUGAGUGCAAUGGGUAAUUAAAUAUGAGCUAAAAUAUAUGUUAUCACAAUGAGUACAUACUAUAAAUAAUAACAAUUACAUAUCUGACAGCUCAAGUGGCAGCACCCAUGACUCAGGUGUGAGGCCCACACCUCUUGACUUCUGAUGGGUGAUGAAAUACCUCACCGAAUGCAACACACUGGGAACUAUGCGGUCCCAAGCAUAGUGGGUCACACGGAAUGAUGCAGUAACUUAGGAAAAACCCAAUACGUAGUCUGAGAAGGAGAAGUCAGCCGAGAUCAACGCACAUGACAGUAGUUUGUAAACAAUAGACGGAAGGACCUACGAACAUCUUGUGGAAAUUACCAGAGACCAACAUAGAAAAGUUAUUAUCCCUUUAGAUAUCAGUAGAUAAAUACGACAAAGAGUAAAUACUAAAGAACUGUAGUGACUCUGGGUUGUCCAGCCAAUCAGC